UACGUAGGUGGCAAGCGUUGUCCGGAAUUAUUGGGCGUAAAGCGCGCGCAGGCGGUCUAAUAAGUCUGAUGUGAAAGCCCCCGGCUCAACCGGGGAGGGUCAUUGGAAACUGUUAGACUUGAGUACUGGAGAGAAGAGUGGAAUUCCACGUGUAGCGGUGAAAUGCGUAGAGAUGUGGAGGAACACCAGUGGCGAAGGCGACUCUUUGGCCAGAAACUGACGCUGAGGCGCGAAAGCGUGGGGAGCAAACAGG
rnacentral:rRNA from 1 species